AGAGACAGCAGCAGCCGCGGUAAUACGAAGGGUGCAAGCGUUAAUCGGAAUUACUGGGCGUAAAGCGUGCGUAGGCGGUGAGUUAAGUCUGCUGUGAAAUCCCCGGGCUCAACCUGGGAAUGGCAGUGGAUACUGGCUCGCUAGAGUGUGUCAGAGGAUGGUGGAAUUCCCGGUGUAGCGGUGAAAUGCGUAGAGAUCGGGAGGAACAUCAGUGGCGAAGGCGGCCAUCUGGGACAACACUGAUGCUGAGGCACGAAAGCGUGGGGAGCAAACAGGAUUAGAUACCCGUGUAGUCCCUGUCUCUUAUAA
rnacentral:rRNA from 1 species